GACAGAGGUCCCGAGCGUUAGGCGGAAUCACUGGGCUUAAAGCGUGUGUAGGCGGACUUCUAAGUACCUUGUGAAAUCCCACAGCUUAACUGUGGAACUGCUCGGUAUACUGCCAGUCUUGAGCCAGCUAGGGGCUACCGGAACAAAUGGUGGAGCGGUGAAAUGCGUAGAUAUCAUUUGGAACGCCAAUGGUGAAAACAGGUAGCUGGGGCUGUGCUGACGCUGAGACACGAAAGCCAGGGGAGCAAACGGG
rnacentral:rRNA from 1 species